CCUACGGGUGGCAGCAGUGAGGAAUAUUGGACAAUGGAGGCAACUCUGAUCCAGCCAAGCCGCGUGGGUGAGGAAGUACUUCGGGAUGUAAAGCUCUAUCAGCUGGGAAGAAAAUGACGGUACCUGACUAAGAAGCCCCGGCUAACUCCGUGCCAGCAACCGCGGUAAUACGUAGGGGGCAAGCGUUAUCCGGAUUUACUGGGCGUAAAGGGAGCGUAGACGGGGUGUUAAGGCUGGUGUGAACGGCCGGGGCUCAACCGUGGGAUUGCAGUGGAAACUGGUAGGCUUGAGUGCCGGAGGGGAUAGCGGAAUUCCUGGUGUAGCGGUGAAAUGCGUAGAUAUUAGGAGGAACACCGGUGGCGAAGGCGACUUGCUGGACGGUAACUGACGUUGAGGCUCGAAAGCGUGGGGAGCAAACAGGAUUAGAUACCCGGGUAGUC
rnacentral:rRNA from 1 species